UUUAAUGGCUGCAGUAAUUUGACUGUACAAAGGUAGCAUAAUAAAUAGUUUUUUAAUUAAAAGCUUGUAUGAAAGGUUGGACGAGAUAGAAACUGUCUUUGAUUAAUAAUAGUAGAAUUUAAUUUUUAAGUUAAAAAGUUUAAAUUUAUAUAAAAGACGAGAAGACCCUAUAGAGUUUUAUAAUUUUUUUAAUAUAAUUAAUUUAGAUAUUUUUAUUUUAUUUUUAAAAAAUUAUUUUAUUGGGGUAAUAUAAAGAUUAAUGUAAUUCUUUUUAAUUUAAUUUUAUUAAUUUAUAUAUUUUUGAUCCAUAAUUUGUGAAUAAAAGAUUAAAUUACCUUAGGGAUAACAGCGUAAUUUUUUUAGAGAGUUCUUAUUGAUAAAAAAGUUUGCGACCUCGAUGUUGGAUUAAGAGUUAGUUUAGGUGCAAAAGUUUAAAUAUUUGGUCUGUUCGACCAUUAAAUUCUUACAUGAUCUGAGUUCAGACCGGUGUAAACCAGGUCGGUUUCUAUCUUUAUAGAAUUAAUAUAUUUUAGUACGAAAGGACCAAGUAUUUAUUAUAAUAGUUUUAUUUUGAAUAUUAGUAAAUUAUUUUGGCAGAUUAGUGCAAUGAAUUUAGAAUUCAUUAAUGUAAUUAUAUUACAAAUAAUACUUGUAUAUUAUUGAUUUAUUGUUGAUUUUUAUUUCUUCAUUAUUGUUAGUUAUUUGUGUAUUAAUUGGAGUAGCUUUUUUAACUUUAAUGGACGAAAA
rnacentral:rRNA from 1 species